rnacentral:rRNA from 1 species
UACGUAGGGUGCGAGCGUUAAUCGGAAUUACUGGGCGUAAAGCGUGCGUAGGCGGUUCGCAAAGUCUGAUGUGAAAGCCCCGGGCUCAACCUGGGAACUGCAUUGGAAACUAACGGGCUCGAGUGUGGCAGAGGGGGGUGGAAUUCCACGUGUAGCAGUGAAAUGCGUAGAGAUGUGGAGGAACACCGGUGGCGAAGGCGGCAUCCUGGACCGACACUGACGCUGAGGAGCGAAAGCCAGGGGAGCAAACGGG